CUCCAGACUCCUACGGGAGGCAGCAGUGGGGAAUAUUGCACAAUGGGGGAAACCCUGAUGCAGCAACGCCGCGUGAGUGAGGAAGUAUUUCGGUAUGUAAAGCUCUAUCAGCAGGGAAUAGAAAAGAAGGUACCUGAAAAAGAAGCCCCGGCUAACUACGUGCCAGCAGCCGCGGUAAUACGUAGGGGGCAAGCGUUAUCCGGAUUUACUGGGUGUAAAGGGAGCGUAGACGGCAUGGCAAGCCAGAUGUGAAAUACCGGGGCUCAACCCCGGGACUGCCUUUGGAACUGUUAAGCUGGAGUGUCGGAGAGGCAGGCGGAAUUCCUAGUGUAGCGGUGAAAUGCGUAGAUAUUAGGAGGAACACCAGUGGCGAAGGCGGCCUGCUGGACGAUAACUGACGUUGAGGCUCGAAAGCGUGGGGAGCAAACAGGAUUAGAUACCCGGGUAA
rnacentral:rRNA from 1 species